rnacentral:misc_RNA from 1 species
CAAAUACACAAAUAUCAACAAGUAAAUGCAAGGAUGACAUUUUUCUCUCUCCUACUAUACAUUUCAAUGGGCAACAGAUGCAAAGUUGGAGCUAUAUUGCAUCAUUCAGAUAGUUCAAAUUCGCUCCUAAAGUUGUUUAACAGCACCGGAGCUGUGAUAAUAAGAUAUCAGAUCCAAGUUCAGCACAGUAAAUAUUUUCAGAAGCUACAAAUUGUCCUAAGCAAUUAUGCUUAUGUUUUCGCAUCAGUCACAAAUUCAUAUAUCAGCCAUCCACACUUGCUUCUACGCAAGCUAAAAACUUUAGCAGAUAAUAUGAAAUUGUUCUCUGAAACCAUAGAUAAAACAAGCUUAAGCCCUUCUGAAUUGCAG